CGUAGCAACGUCGGUAGCAACCGGGAAACAUGAAAAGAAACGGUUGCAGUUUGCUGACUCGGCGGCUGCUGCUUCUUGUUCUGAUCUUGGUCGUGUUAAUGACUCAUGUGAGCUGUAUAUCAACAGCUUGGCGUAGUCAGGGUCCCGGUGAUCCUCCAGUACAGGGAAGGCCUUCUUGCAGUCAAUAUAUGAUCGGCUGUUAAUAGACACGCUUUAUAAUUUCAAUUUCGUACAAGCACUCAAUAUAUACACGUCUUUUUGAAGUAUUCAACGAGGUGCAUGCAGUAAAAAUUAGGUCUACAAGAAAUGCUUCGCUCGCCUGAUUGCCUGCUGCUGCAGUGUCACCGCAUUAAGUUUAAGUUUUGCUUAGAUCAUAUCUAUACCAUCGAACAGUAUUGCCGUUCAUUAAUUUGUGAGACUCCAACUCGUGAUCAAUAUAAUUUUGAUUGCAUUGUA